GCGCUGGAACGGCUGGAGCACGGGAGGGCCAUGCAGAGGUGCUUGAGACCCGACAAAUGACUCCUCCUUCAGCGCGGAGGCCAUCUUCCACACUUUCGGUCUCUCUCGGUGAUCCCCGCAGGCACCAGGGCUUCCUGGACUUCAACCAGGUGGUUCUGCAGUGGUGACAAGGGGUGGAGCCCCUCCCGCCCCGGCCGAGCCGCUCCCGGGUACCCUCGGAGCCAGCCUCGGCUCCCUGAGCAAGCGGUUGUCAAGUGCAUCCUGUUUGCCAGCUGCUGAGACAGAGCCUGGGCGCACAGAACUGAGCCAGGCCCGUCCCUCCCAGAGCUCAGUCUGGUGCAGGGCGUCUUUCCAGACCUUAUGGCCCCAGGAUUGCCCCAGCUGCCCAUUAACAAAGCCUGAUCCCGGAUCUCACCCCAGAGAUGCCAACUGCAAAGCCACCCGUGGGACACGGUCAUCAAGGCUGCCAUGAGGAAGUACCCGAAUCCGAUGAACCCCUGUGUGGUGGGCGUGGAUGUGCUGGAGCGCAGUGUGGACGCCCAGGGCCGGCUUCACAGUCUCCGCCUCCUCAGCACCGAGUGGGGGCUGCCCGGCCUCGUGAGAGCGGUUUUGGGGACCGGCAGGACCAUGACGUACGUCCAGGAGCGCUCUGUCGUGGACCCAGCAGAGAAGAGGAUGGAGCUGUGUUCCGCCAAUGCAGUGCGGGAGAUGGGAGACUUGGGCAGUGGUCUGGGGAGAAAGGCAAGAGACAGAACCUGCAGCGCUGUUUCCUUCCCGAAGCUCACACUCACAAACGUGGUGUCGGUGAGCGAGCGGCUGGUGUACACGCCCCACCCGGAGAACGCAGGAAGGACGGUGCUCACACAGGAAGCCGUCAUCACCGUGAGGGGCAUCGGCCUCGGCAGCCACCUGGAGGGCCUGAUGGUCAACACGAUAGCGUCCAACGCAAAGAAGGGGGUCUGGACGGCACUACUUCAGAGCUGAGUAUUAAAGGAGACCAUGUGGCUGACGGUGCUUCGCACGGUGAGUGCCUCACACCCGCAGGCCCAGGCUGGGCCUUCAUGGUGGCAGACGCCCCACUCCCUUGUCCCCCACCACUCGUUUACAGAAAAGCGUUAGUCUCCCCCAAGUUCCAGAGGGCAGGUUUAAUCAGAGAAAGGAGAAAUGCAGAAACAGGGGAACAGUCAAGCAAAUAAUAGUUUAGCCGUGAAAACAAAUUGAAGGACCUUUCGUUCCUCCGCAGGGGCUACAGAUCACAUCCUAAGCCACAUCCUUGAGCUUUUCUGCAGAUGCGAAACCCCCACCAGGUGAAGUUGGCCGCGUGCCGCCAGUUAGCACGUAGACCCCAGACGGGUUGGAUCCAGUGGCUGAUGUGGCCUUCCCCCAGUUAUUCACCCCUCACAAUCCAGGGGUGUCCACGAGCUGAUCAGGCCCUCUGCAAGCUUCACACCUAAUGCUGCCUUUAAAAACCCUUGUCUGAAAGCCACUGGGGAGUUGGGUUAUUUUGAGAAAUAGCUGCCCAUUCUCCUUGGUUGGCCCGUGGUGGGCGCCUGCAGUAAAUGCUGCACCUUCCUUCCCCACAACCCGAGGUCAGUGGGUUGGCUUUACUCUCAUUGGAUGAGUGGACCCAAGUUAGUUGGGGGCAACUCUGAUGACCCAGAUGGGCCUCCCACCCCGAGGGGACAUCUUGCCUAUGGGCCCCGUCUCAGGGGCAGCCCCAGUGCUUACCACUGACUGGAAGCCGCUGGCCCAGGGCCCACUUGGUCCCACAGUGAAGGAGACGAGGCUCUGGCCCUGGUCUGGUCUGGCCUGUGAGGCAACUCUGGUACGUGGUGGGCCCUCCUGUGUGCCUGCCCCGGAGUGUUCUUCCCUGCUGGCUGGCCUGAUUGGAGUUUUCCUUUUUGGUGGGAAAGACAUCCAACUUGUCAUCUGGUUUUAAGUGGGAUGCCACUUUAACAAGAUUUUCCCUUCUGGGUCCAGGAGGACCUCGCUCUUCCAGACGGGCCGAGCAGCCCCUGGAGAACUCCGUCAGACGCCCGUCUGGAACGGCAGAUCGUACUGCUGAGCUGGUAAAAAAUUAAAGAAUUCUAAUCGAAACCCUGAAGAGCUCACAAAACUGUUUACCAGAUGUCUGUCUCCUUAUCAAAAUGGAAAGAAACGUCUCUAACAAGGCCGUCACAGAGCACCACCACUCGAGACACGCAUCGCUGCUGGCGUUGCCGCUAGAAGGACGUGCACAGUGUUCGUGCGACAGUUCAGUACAGGUGAUAAAAAUGCGCAGCCUGUUUCCCCACGAAUCUGCCUCUGAGCUUUACUUCCCCCGUCGUGGGGGACUGGGCGUGUGUGUGUGCAUACAGAAGCAGGCCCAGCACUGAGGGACGUGGUGGCCCCGGGGCAGGCAGCAAGCACCGUGUCACUCAGGGACAAAUACUUUGAUCACCUGUGCUUUCUAGAAAGAUGUGCAAGCAAAAGGUGAGGUGCGGGGUCACUCUGGCUUAAAUGCGAUUUAACUGGAACUUGAGACUAAGCAAAACAGCCUGCUUAGGGCCUACCAGACAUGCACUGUGCAUCUGCUGUGACCAUGCAAUAGAACGCAUCUUUUUAAAAUGAAAGGAGUAACUGUGGUUCAGGCACCUAAGAGGGAGCUGGCUGUCCGCCGUGGCUGUGGUUUCAGACGUGCUCCUGUGUCACUGAAUUCCCUGAGCUACAUCAGACGCAAGGACACUGCCGGCUGUACGCGGUGCCUGCCAGCAGCCCCAGCCUGAAGGGCUCAAGGUCUCCUCCUGCAACUGUGAAACUGCUCCCUCACGUUAGGGACGGUAAUGGCAAGUGAGACCACCUCAAGACGUGGCCGCCCCGCAGGAGGCACUAGAUUCUUCAGCCAGAAUCACACCAGACAGUACUGUUGCUUCAGGUCUCAGCAAAAAAAAGGAGAGAGAUGUGUAAUGGCCAGUAGCCCCCGCUGUGUACAAAAUACCCCUGGAAAAGCUGAAACCCAAAUAAAUAGAAUAAUUUAAAAGGCCACUAGGUUACAGAAUAUACAUAAAGCGGACCCACUUCAAAACUUACCUUUCCUGAUUGCUGUCUAGAAUAGGAGGACACUUUCAGGGAAUACUGUGAGUGCAUUUUGAUUAUUAUCCCCAGUUUUAACUUUAUGUAUUUAUUUUACAACACAGUAUUUUUAUGUGAUGUAUAGUUGAUGUACAAUAUAUGGUACAGGUAUACAACACAGCGACCCACAAUUUCUAAAGGCUACACUCCGUUCGUAGUUGCUAUAAAAUCCGGGCUGCGUUCCCCAUGCUGUCAUACAUCCUUGUGGCUUACUUUAUACCUGAGAGUUUGCACCUCUUCCUCCUCCCCUCCAUCUUGCCCCUCCCCCUUCCGUCUGCCCACUGGGAACCACUCCUCCCUUCUCUGCAUCUGUGAGUCCGUUUCUUUUCAGUUAUAUUCACUAUGUCGUUGUAUUUUUUAGAUUCCACGUGGAUGCCGGUGCCUGCCUGUUGUUCAGCUUGUGGGUCGCCCACCCGGGGGUGUGGGGCCUGAUUAUACCGCAAGCAUGCCCCUCCUACCGUCCUGCUGUGGUUCCCUCUUUAUGUUUCCAGUUGAAGAAAAUCUUUUCUGCUAGGUUUGUCUUUUUCGAUGGUUGUCUAGCAGUCAGUUGUGGUUUUGUUGUAGUCGUGAGGAGAGGCGAGCUCGUGGUCCUACCGCUCCACCAGCUUGACUAGAAAUCCUCGGUCAUUAUCCUCACUGUUAACAUGAUGACUAAUGUUCAGCUGUUUGUCCGGGUGCUAUGACAAAGCAAUCAAACAGGUAAUAGGUUCACAAUACAAAAUACUGAGGCUAAGCUUGAGAGUCAAGAUUUCUUUGCAAUUAAAGUGAAGGAGAGAUUUGGCAGCCAAGAUGGUGGAGUAGAAAGACCUUCAGCUCACCCCCUCUCGUGAGCAAAGCAAAGUCACAGCCCUUGCAGGAAAACCAUCAAUGAAAAAGACUGGAAUUCACCAGAAAAGCUCUUCUACACCUAAAUACAUAAGGGGCCACAAGGAGACAGGUAAGAGGGGCAGACCGUGGUAAGAUAAAACCCCACGCCCCUGGGUGGGUGACCCGCACACUGGAGAACAGUCACGUCCCAGAGCUGCUCCCGCAGGAGUGAGAGUGCUGAGCUCCACGUCAGGCUCCCCAGCCCGGGGGUCUGGCACUGGGAAGGUGAGCCCAGGGCGUGUGGCACUGAAGGCCAGUAGGGCUUGACUGCAGGAGCCCAGGUCAGGGGAGACAGAGACUUCAUUCUGAAAGGGCCCACACUGGGACCCAGGGCAAAAGCAGUAAUUUUGAUAGGAGCCUGGGCCAGACAUGUGUGCAGGUCUUGGAGUCUCCUGGAGAGGGGUUGGGGGCUCACCCUGGGGAUAGACCUAUUUGAGAACAUUGCUGAGGCUGGUGGCUGACAUCUUGGAUCAUUAGCACCAAGACCAGGCCCCACCCCACGCCCUGGAAGUGCCAAUGCAGGGACACUUAAGGCCAAAGAAGUAAGGGGGCAGGAACAGAGCCCCACCUGUCAGCAGACAGGCUGCUUAGAUACUAAAGACCUCACGGCCGCCUCUGGACCCUCCCUCAGGCCCAGCCCAGCCCAGCCCACCAGAGCGCCAGGACCCAGCUUCACCCCCUGGGGGACAGGCACUGGGCCUGCCAACCCAGAAGCCUGCACCAACCUCUAGAGGAGUCUGGUCCACUGGGGAGCAGACCUAGAAGCAAGAAAACUCUGAUCCUGCAGUGCAGGUCAGACCCUACCCUGGGACCAUCUGGGCCCUGGCCCUGCCCACUAGCAGGUCGGCACAACCUCCAGGACACCCCGGAACUCAUACCCAACCACCUGAAACAAGCCCUGGGAUGCCUGGGCCCUGCAGCCAAACUCCACGAACCAGCUCUGCUGGCCAGGAAUCUGACACUGACCCCCGAAUCUGGCUUCACCUGCCGGUGGGUGGGCAACAGCCCACCAGUGAGCCAGCAUGAGCCCCGGGACCCACGGGGUGACCAGGCCCUGCUAAACAUCAGCCAAGGGCGUCCACACAACAUGGGGCCUAGCAACCAACCAGACUAGGGACCGAACACACUAGCAGCCUGUCCCCAGAGGGCAGAGCACUUCUGGGGUACAUAGGACACCUCCUACAGAGGCCACUUCUGCAAGGCUGAGAAACAUGACUGACCUACCACAUACACCAAGAUGCAAACUGCAACUUAGACAAAAUGAGGCGACAGAAAGAUGUUUCAGAGAAAGAGGACAAAGACCACAGACAAACUAUGUGAGGUGGAGACAGGCGCUCUACCCAAGAAGGAUUUCAGAGUAAUGACUAUAAAGAUGAUCAAAAAACCUGGGAGGAGAAAGAAUGCACAGAUGAGGAGUUUACAAGUUUUAAAGAAAGAAUUAGAAAAUACAAAGAACAACCAAACAGAAGGGAAGCGCACAAGCAGCAGACCACAAAAGAGGCGGCAGAGUAGAGCGGCGGGAGUCACUGCCGCCGAGGAGAAGGAAGAGUGCAGGGAAUGGGGACAGUUUAAAGGAUGUGUGGGACAACACCACGUGCUCUAAUGCUUGCAUUACAGGGGCCCCAGCAAGAGGAGAGAGAGAGGGAGAGAAAGGGCCUGAGGAAAUAUUUGGAGAGAUAAUAGUAAAUAGCUGAAACCUUCCCUAACCCAGGGAUAGAAACAGUCACCCAAGUCCAGGUAGCGCACAGAGUCCAUCACAGGAUCCACUCAAAGAGGAGCACACCAAGACACUGUGAUAAAAACUGAAGGCAGAGGACACUAAAAGCAACGAGGAAGGCAACAAGUAACAUGCCAGGGAACUCCUGGGAUGCUGCCAGCUGCUUUUCCAGCAGAAACUCUGCAGGCCAGAAGGAAGUUGCACCAUAUAGUUCAUGUGAUGAAAGGGAAAAACCUGCAACCAAGCCUACUUCGCCCAGCAAGGCUCCUGUUCAGGGCUGAUGGUGAAAUCAGCAGCUUUACAGCCGAGCAAAAGCUAGAAUGUCAGCACCAUCACGCCAGCUUUACAACAAAUGUUCAGGGACUUCUUUAGGUGAAAAAUAAAAGGUCACAACUAGAAACAGGAGAAGGAUGGAAUGGAAACCUCACUGGUGAGGCAAACAUGAAGGUAAGGAAUCACGCGCACAGCACUGGUACGGAAGUUAAAAGAUGCGAGUGCUAACACCAUCCGUGUCCACGGGAAGCAGGUAAGGGACACAAAACAAUUCGAUGUAAAAUCUGGUAUCAAAAACAGAUGUGAUGCAGUAACGUGGAUGGACCUGGAGACUAUCGUUCUAAUAAGUAAGCCAGACAGAGAAAGAAAACCACCACAUGAUACCAUUCAUAUGUGGAAUCUAAAAAUGAGCUUACUUGCAAAACAGAAACAGACUCACAGACAUAGCAAACAAACUUACGGCUACCAGGGAGGGAAGGGGUUGGUAAGGGAUAAAUUGGGAGUUUGGGAUUUGCAGAUACUAAGUACUGUAUAGAAAAUAGACAGACAGCAAGUUUCCACUGUAGAGCACAGGGAACUAUAUUCAACAUCUUGUAACUUACAAUGAAAACGAAUACACGUAUGUACAUGUAUGACUGAGACAUGAUGCUGUGCACUAGAGACUGACACAGUGGUGUAAGCCAGCUGUGCUUCAGCUAAAAAAGAAACUGAGAAGAGUACAAAUGCAGGGUGUCCAGCAUGCAUUUGAAAUUAAGAGAUUAGCAAUUUAAAACAAUCACAUACAGAGAGACUGCCAUACAAAAAAACACAUGGUAACCACAAAGCAAAAGUCAGUAAUAGAUAAACACAAAGACAGAAAAAGGAAUCCAGACAUCGCACUGGUGACAGCCAUCAGGUCACAGGAGCAGAGAAUGAAGAAGAAAGGGAGAACAAAAACCUACAAAUGCAAAUCUAGAACAAUCGACAAAACGGCACUAACACACACACCAACAAUUACCUUAAGUGUGAAUGGACUAAAUGCUCCAACUGGAAGACACAUUGGCUAAAGGGACACUAAAAAAAAAAAAAAAGAAAAAAAAAAAAGACCCAUAGGAGACUCACUUCCAAUCUAGAGCCAUGCAGACUGAAUGAGGGGGGUUGCAAAAAGGUAUUCCAUGAAAAUGGAAAUCAGAAGGCCAGAGCAGCAACAGUCAGACAAAAUAGGCUUUAAAAUAGAGACUGUUACAGGAGAUAAAGAAGGACACUACACAGUGAUCAAGGGAUCAGCCCAAGAAGCAGCUCUCCCAACACAGUAGCACCUCAACACACAAGGCACACGUUACGGACGUAAAGGGAGAAACUGGCCGUAACAGGGUAACAGUGGGGACCUUAACACCCCACUUACAGCAAUGGACAGAUCAUCCAGACAGAAAAUCAGUAAGGAAAUGGGGGGGGGGGGAUAGACAGGGAGUUCAAAAUUUGUAGAUACUGACAGGCAUGUGCAGAAUAGAUAAACAAGAUUAUACUGCGUAGCACAGGGAAAUAUAUACAAGAUCUUGUGGCAGCUCACAGUGAAAAAGAAUGCAACAAUGAAUAUAAGUAUGCUCAUGUAUAACUGAAAAAUUGUGCUCUACACUGGAAUUUGACACAACAUUGUAAACUGACUAUAACUCAAUAAAAAAAAGUUUAAAAAAUAAGGAAACACAGGCCUUAAAUAACACAUUAGGCCAAAUGGCUUUGAUUGGUAUUUACAGCACAUUCUACCUGAAAGCAGCAGAAUACACAUUCUUUUCAAGUGCACACAGAACAUUGUCCAAGGCAGAUCGCAUGCGGGGCCAUGCAGCAAGCAUCAGUACAUUUAGCAGAAGUGAAGUCACGCCGAGCAUCUUUUCUGACCACAACUCCGAGAGACUAGAAAUCAGCUACGAGAAGAAAACUGGAAGAAACAAAAAGACACGGAAACCGGACAACACGCCGCUGAGCAGCCGGUGGACCGCUGAAGACGUCCAAGAGGAGACGUAACCGUGCCCAGGGGCAGUGAAAAUGAGAACAGGACGAUCCAAACCCCUGGGACACAACAAGGCAGGAGACAAGGGCAACCUCAAGCACAGAGCCCAGCCUCACAGCUAAAGGAGCCAGGACAGAGGACAAAACCUGGAAAGGGAAGAAGGGAAGACACACAGAUCAAAGCAAAAACAAAUGAAGGAAAAGGUCAGUGAAACUAAAAGCUGGUUCUUUGAGCAAAUAAACAAAACUGAUAAACCUUUGACCACACUCACCAAAGAAACUAAAGUCCAGGUCCAGAUGGCUUCACAGGUCAACUCUACCAAACGUGCAGAGAAGAGUUAACACCUGUCCUCCUGAAACCAUUCCAAAAACCUGCGGAGGAAGGAGCACUUCCAACCUCACUCUGUGAGGCCACCGUCACCCCGAUACCAAAACCAGACAAAGAUAUCACAAAAAAAGAACAUUACAGGCCAGUAUCACGAGCACAGAUGCAAAAAUCCUGAACAAAAAUACUAGCAAACUGACUCCAACAGUACAUUAAAAGGAUCAUGCACCAUGGUGAAGUGGGAUUUUUCCCAGGGACGCACGGGUUUUUCAGUAUCUGCUAAUCAGUGAUACAUCGCAUUAACAAACUGAAGAAUAAAAACCACAUGAUCAUCUCAAUAGAAUCAGAAAAAGCUUUUGAUAAAAUUCAAUAUUCAUUUAUGAUAAAAAAAAAACUCUUCAGAAAGUGGGCCUAGAGGGACUAUAACUUUACCUAAGAAAGGCCUUUUUUGACAAACCCACAGCUAACAUCCUCCUCAGUGGUGAAAACCUAAAAGCACUAAGAUCCUCUAAGAUCCCGAACGAGACGAGAAUACCCACUCUGACCACUUCCCAAACUAUAUUAAAUCAGUCAGAGAAGAAGAAUAAAGGAAUCCAAACUGUACAAGAAUCAGUAAAACUGCUAGUAAAGGACAUGACAUGAUACAGAGAAGACCCUACAGACAUCACCAGGCAACCACUAGCGCUCUGAAAUCAAUGAAUUAAGUAAAGGUGCAGGAUACAAAAUUAAUACACAGAAAUCUGUUGCAUUUCUAUACACUAACAAUGAAAUAUCAAAAGAGAGAGAAGGUUAACAGUCCCCUUUACCAUCACAUCAAAAAGAAUAAGACACCUAGGAAUAAACCUACCUAAGGAAGCAAAAAGACCUGCACUCCAAAACCUGUAAUACACAAGUGAAAGAAGUCGGAGGAGACACGAACAGAUGGAAAGACUCACCAUGUUCUUAGAUUGGAAGAAUCAAUACUGGUUUAAAAAAAAAAAAAAAGGACCAACAUAUUACAGAGGCAAUUUCAGAUUCAGUGCAACCCCUAUCAAAAUACCAAUGGCCUUUUUCACAGAAGGAGAACAGAAGCUUUUCAAAUUUGUACAGAAACAAAUUUUCAAAUACCCAAAACAAUCUUGAGGAAGAAGAAGGGAGCUGGAAGAAUCAUGUUCCCCGAACUAACUCAGACCACACCACAAAGCUACAGCAAUCACAACAGUCUGGUGCUGGCACAACAACAGACACACAGAUCAACAGAUAGAAAGUCCAGAAAUAAACCCAGGCACUUAUGGUCGAUUAAUCUAUGACAAAGGAGGCAAAAAUACACAAGAGAGAAAAGAGAGUCUCUUCAACAAGUGGACCUGGGAAGACUGGGCAGCUACCUGUGAAAGGAUGAAAUUAGAACACUCUCUGACGCCGCACACAAACAUAACUGAGAAGGGAUUAGAGACCGAAGUGUGAGCCAGACACCAUGAGCCUCCCAGGAGAGGAGGGGCUCAAGUGGUGGAACAGGAGGGUGCAGAGCUCACCCCUCCCACGAAUAACAUCAAAAAUGUACGUCUGUGGACUGGUCCUCUACACGUGGACUCAUUCUCGCAGAAUGACUACUGAACAACAGCAGAAGAUCUUACACAAGCGGAGCUACAAGAAGUCUCCUCACACUUGGAUAGGAAGAAACAACCACCACCGGGAUGGGAGCUGUGCCCGGGGGCAGCAGUGAAAGAAGAAAAGUGCCCCCACCCUGGGAAGCCCCUUCACCCGCGGGGAGAUCAGCCAGACAGAAGGGGAGGCAGAGCAGAGAGAAGCUGUCAAGGGUCUGCGCGGCCCCAGCCCCAGACAGGAGCCUGUGGGCCUGCGCCGAGACCGGCUGCUGAAGCUCGGGUUCAGAGGACAGGCCCAGGGAGGGGACUGGGGCUGCCUGCGUGGGACAGCCUCAGGGGUAUGGGAAGAACCUGGGGUGUGUGCAGUGAGGCUGGGUCUGCCAUAAAAAGCCCCACUGGGAACACACUCUCCUGAAGGGGGGGGUGGGGCGAACCACACAACAAACAACCCAAUUAAAAAGAAUGGGCUGAAGACCUAAGAUAGCGUGAUGCAGUGGGAUCUAAAACUGAGACAGAUGAACUUACAAAACAGAAACAGACUCACAAACACGGAAAACAGACUUACGGUUACCAAAAGGGACGGGGGGAGAGGGAUAAAUAAGGAGUCUGGAUUAGCAGACGGAAACUACUAUAUACAGAAUAAACCAGGACCUAUUGUAGAGCACAGGAACUAUAUACUCAACAGCCUGUAGUAACCUGUAAUCAAAAAGGAUAUUAAAGGAUAUACAGACAAAAUUGGAGAGAUACACGUAUCACUGAAUGACUAUGCUGUACACCAGAAACUAAUACAACAUUGUAAAUCAACUACACUCCAAUAAUUAAAAAAAAAAAAAAAAAAAAAAAAA